UACGAAGGGGGCUAGCGUUGCUCGGAAUUACUGGGCGUAAAGCGCACGUAGGCGGCCAACUAAGUCGGAUGUGAAAUCCCCAGGCUUAACCUGGGAACUGCAUCCGAUACUGGAUGGCUUGAAUUCGGGAGAGGGAUGCAGAAUUCCAGGUGUAGCGGUGAAAUGCGUAGAUAUCUGGAGGAAUACCGGUGGCGAAGGCGGCAUCCUGGACCGAGAUUGACGCUGAUGAGCGAAAGCUAGGGGAGCAAACGGG
rnacentral:rRNA from 1 species